CGCCGCGUGAGUGAAUGAAGGUCUUCGGAUCUUAAAACUCUGUUAUUAGGGAAGAACAAAUGUGUAACUAACUAUGCACGUCUUGACGGUACCUAAUCAGAAAGCCACGGCUAACUACGUGCCAGCAGCCGCGGUAAUACUUAGGUGGCAAGCGUUAUCCGGAAUUAUUGGGCGUAAAGCGCGCGUAGGCGGUUUUUUAAGUCUGAUGUGAAAGCCCACGGCUCAACCGUGGAGGGUCAUUGGAAACUGGAAAACUUGAGUGCAGAAAAGGAAAGUGGAAUUCCAUGUGUAGCGGUGAAAUGCGCAAAGAUAUGGAGGAACACCAGUGGCGAAGGCGACUUUCUGGUCUGUAACUGACGCUGAUGUGCGAAAGCGUGGGGAUCAAACAGGAUUAGAUACCCUGGUAGUCCACGCCGUAAACGAUGAGUGCUAAGUGUUAGGGGGUUUCCGCCCCUUAGUGCUGCAGCUAACGCAUUAAGCACUCCGCCUGGGGAGUACGACCGCAAGGUUGAAACUCCAGGAAUUGACGGGGACCCGCACAAGCGGUGGAGCAUGUGGUUUAAUUCCAAGCAACGCGAAGAACCUUACCAAAUCUUGACAUCCUCUGACCCCUCUUGAGAU
rnacentral:rRNA from 1 species